rnacentral:lncRNA from 1 species
UUACAAAUUUAGGUUGUGUCGGUCGGGUUGUAAGAUUUAAAAUCUAAAAUUAUCUAAAUUUUAAAUGGAUUGGGUCGAGUAGGAUCAGGUCUAAAUUCAGUAAACCCAAACACAACCCAAAAAAUAGAACGAGUCUAAUUUUAAGAUCCGACCUGGCCCCAGGGUCCUCCAAAAUGGAUCAGAUCAAGUCUAAGCGGGUCGGGU